rnacentral:tmRNA from 1 species
ACCCUUUUCAGUCCGGAUCCGAUCCCCUAUAUCUGUCGUGCCGGCGCAAGUCGGCUAUGGCGAUAAACGGUCAUCGAAAUAAACCCAUCGGACCCGGGGGCGGUACCCGGCGCCUCCACCCAAGCCCAUCCGGACGGAUGGGUUUCGGCGGGGGCGAAAUAGGAUCGACGAGGGCGUAAAGGGUGUUCUUUCGCUCGGCAUGGUACCGCCGUUAUCGGACCAAAUCUGUAGUUGCCAACGACAACUAUGCUCCGGUGGCUGUUGCCGCGUAAGCGGUACCGGUACCGAAAUAAAAGUCCUUGCGGUUAGCACCGUAUAGGCGGGGUCCGGAGGCACCUGGCAACAGAAGCCUCCACU